GAUGAACGCUGGCGGCGUGCCUAAUACAUGCAAGUCGAGCGAACAGACGAGGAGCUUGCUCCUCUGACGUUAGCGGCGGACGGGUGAGUAACACGUGGAUAACCUACCUAUAAGACUGGGAUAACUUCGGGAAACCGGAGCUAAUACCGGAUAAUAUAUUGAACCGCAUGGUUCAAUAGUGAAAGACGGCUUUGCUGUCACUUAUAGAUGGAUCCGCGCCGCAUUAGCUAGUUGGUAAGGUAACGGCUUACCAAGGCAACGAUGCGUAGCCGACCUGAGAGGGUGAUCGGCCACCCUGGAACUGAGACACGGUCCAGACUCCUACGGGAGGCAGCAGUAGGGAAUCUUCCUCAAUGGGCGAAAGCCUGACGGAGCAACGCCGCGUGAGUGAUGAAGGUCUUCGGAUCGUAAAACUCUGUUAUUAGGGAAGAACAAAUGUGUAAGUAACUAUGCACGUCUUGACGGUACCUAAUCAGAAAGCCCCGGCUAACUACGUG
rnacentral:rRNA from 1 species